AUGGAGGCAGCAGUGGGGAAUAUUGCACAAUGGGGGAAACCCUGAUGCAGCAACGCCGCGUGAGUGAUGACGGUCUUCGGAUUGUAAAGCUCUGUCUUCAGGGACGAUAAUGACGGUACCUGAGGAGGAAGCCACGGCUAACUACGUGCCAGCAGCCGCGGUAAUACGUAGGUGGCAAGCGUUGUCCGGAUUUACUGGGCGUAAAGGGAGCGUAGGUGGAUAUUUAAGUGGGAUGUGAAAUACUCGGGCUUAACUUGAGUGCUGCAUUCCAAACUGGAUAUCUAGAGUGCAGGAGAGGAAAGUAGAAUUCCUAGUGUAGCGGUGAAAUGCGUAGAGAUUAGGAAGAAUACCAGUGGCGAAGGCGACUUUCUGGACUGUAACUGACACUGAGGCUCGAAAGCGUGGGGAGCAAACAGGAUUAGAAACCCCAGUAGUCCU
rnacentral:rRNA from 1 species